rnacentral:rRNA from 1 species
AACGAACGCUGGCGGCAUGCCUAACACAUGCAAGUCGAACGAGACCUUCGGGUCUAGUGGCGCACGGGUGCGUAACGCGUGGGAACCUGCCCUUAGGUUCGGAAUAACUCCCCGAAAGGGGUGCUAAUACCGGAUAAUGUCUUCGGACCAAAGAUUUAUCGCCCUUGGAUGGGCCCGCGUUGGAUUAGCUGGUUGGUAGGGUAAUAGCCUACCACGGCGACGAUCCAUAGCUGGUCUGAGAGGAUGAUCAGCGACACUGGGACGGAGACACGGCCCAGACUCCUACGGGAGGCAGCAGUGGGGAAUAUUGGAACAUGGGGGAAAGGCUGAUCCAGCAAGGCCGGGUGAGUGAUGAAGGCCUUAGGGAUGUAAAGCGCUUUUACCCGGGAUGAUAAUGACAGUACCGGGAGAAUAAGCGCCGGCUAACUACGUG